rnacentral:snRNA from 1 species
GGAUGUGAGGGUGUUCUGGCGACAACAUCUGUCACCCCGUUGAUCGUCAGGGUUGAACUGAUCUAGCUGGCUACGUGGGGUAUCCUCUCCUCCCUCACCCAUCCAUGUGCAUCCCUCAUCCCUUCCAAAGCUGUGCACUCGGUAGAAGGGGACAACAGUCCCUGCUAGAGGAGGACUGUUCUUUGGGAAAGCAUGUUCAAGUAGCUGGAACCUCCAAACGAGCUCUCAAGAGAUUCCUGUGGGCUGGGCAUUAAUUCUAAUUUGUUAUUACUAUAAAAAUGUAGUGGUCUAGUGUCUGUAUUU